UCGGAUUGCAGUCUGCAACUCGAGUGCAUGAAGCUGGAAUCGCUAGUAAUCGCGGAUCAGAAUGCGCCCGGUGAAUACGUUCCCGGGUCUUGUACACACCGCCCGUCACACCAUGGGAGUCGAUAACGCCCGAAGUCAGUGACCCAACCUUAUAGGAGGGAGCUGCCGAAGGCGGGAUUGAUAACUGGGGUGAAGUCGUAACAAGGUAAC
rnacentral:rRNA from 1 species